UGACCUAACUCAUCUAUCAUAUGGUGCCAAAACCCGAUUCUGACCUCAAGGGACCUCCGACCUUUUGGAAAUUGCAUGUAAAAAACCUCCGACUGGACCUGGUUGCUGUUACUGGCCUCUGAAAACACCACUGAUUCAGCUUUGAGGAAACAGAGGACCUCAGACGGGAACUCGCCUCAACAGUGGAAACUACAGCCCAGUCAACCCAGAUCUUACAACAGCAACUAUCCUCCAUAGCCGAAGUUGCCCUCCAGAACAGGGUCUCAUGGUUUUGCAAGCCCCUGAGAAUGCAGGAACUGAGUUAAUGAGCACCCUGGUCUUUGAAGACAAGAAGACUCUCUGCACCUUUUGGUCAAAGACAGCCUCCUCGUCCUUUGAUGAUCUUGGAAGCGGAACAGGCACUCUGGAUUUAUUUCCCCCUGAUAAGUUUUACAAUGUAUAGGCUCCUUACCCCAUAACCCAGAUCCUAGCUGAUGGAAGGGGGUGGUUUUUAACAGAAACUGUUCUGAUAAGCCCUGGGCUCCCUCUUUUCCGCUUUAAAAAAAAAAAAAAAAAACACAAAAAACAAAAAAAAAACUUCCUGCCUUUUGCAUCCCCCAAAGACCCUCUAUAAAGACUGCCAACC